rnacentral:rRNA from 1 species
GACGAACGCUGGCGGCGUGCUUAACACAUGCAAGUCGAACGGUAAGGCCCUUCGGGGUACACGAGUGGCGAACGGGUGAGUAACACGUGGGUGAUCUGCCCUGCACUUCGGGAUAAGCCUGGGAAACUGGGUCUAAUACCGGAUAGGACUCCGGACUGCAUGGUCUGGGGUGGAAAGCUUUUGCGGUGUGGGAUGGGCCCGCGGCCUAUCAGCUUGUUGGUGGGGUGAUGGCCUACGAAGGCGACGACGGGUAGCCGGCCGGGGAGGGGGACCGGCCACGCUGGGGCUGAGAUACGGCCCAGACUCCUACGGAAGGCAGCAGUGGGGAAUAUUGCACAAUGGGCGCAAGCCUGAUGCAGCGACGCCGCGUGAGGGAUGACGGCCUUCGGGUUGUAAACCUCUUUCAGCAUCGACGAAGCGAAAGUGACGGUAGGUGCAGAAGAAGGGCCGGCCAACUACGUGCCAGCAGCCGCAGUAA